AGGGUCCAUCUGGGAGGUGCGGAGGGCAGGGCCCGCGGGCAGGUUGGCGCUGGCGCCGGAGACGGGGAGGACUCAGGAAAGCAGCGCGGGCCCUGCGCCCCCGGUCCGCUCUGGAGGGCCCCGGGAGCAGGGCGCUGCGGGCGUGGGGCGCGGGGCAGCGGGCGCGGGGCGGCGCCGGCCCCGGGCGGCUCUCCCACUAGGGGUAGCUGUUGCCUGAACGCCGGAGCGCUCCCCUCUCGCCGCUCGCCUCGCCCGCCGCAGCCCCGGCCGCCGGGCGCACCCGUCCCGUUCGUCCCCGGACGUUGCUCUCUUCCCCGGGAACGUCGAGACUGGAGCGCCCGAACUGAGCCACCUUCGCGGACCCGGAGUGCGGCGGCCCGACUCACCGCGGAGGCGCCGGGACGCGUAAAGUCUAUCACUGCCCUAGGGUCUGCUGGUGUCCCUUGGUUGGACAGGCUACAACCUCACCCCUGGGGAUUCCAGAGCACUGGACAGAGAGCCCAGACCCUUCUGGCUCCACAGCUUCCUGGGCAGGAGCAGAAUGAAGACUCAAGGUCCAGGUAAGACUGGCUUCGGGGUCGUGGAAGCUGCCUGUUGCCUCCCACUCCAACACCCUCCCCCCACAGCUCCAUCUCCUCUGCCCUCUUCCCUCGGCGGCCCCCGACUCUCCUUCCCUUCUCUCCAGGGCCACACCCCACUCACUGUAGCUCACCCUUCCUGUUGCUUCCCCUACUGUCCUGUCUUCUCCCAGCUGUCCAGAGAGAGAGUCCUGGCCUAAGGCCAGGGCCCAGGGGGACCCAAGGGACCGGGGCCUCAGUGGGCCUGGCAGGCUCCCUCCUGGCACUUCUCCUGCCACAGGACCUGCCCCUCCUGCCUACCUUCUCCCAGCUCCAGCAGGGGCGGACAGGGGAAAGAAAAGGAGGGGCAUGCUGAACUGGGUCCAUUUGGUGUCUGGGAGCAACUUGGAGAGAGGGAGGGGGCAGGGGAUAGGGGCAGAGCCCUGGCACUGCGGGUCAGGCUGGCCUCCGGGUGGCCUGCUCCCAGGAGCAGUCGUGGUGGUGUCCAUGAAGGGGAGGGCUUGUGGACCCAGGUGCUGAGCUCUCCCUCCCACUGCUUCCAUGUGGAGCUGCCCCCAUCCAUGGUCAGAGGGGCCAUCAGGAGACCCCCCAUGGAGCUGGGGACGCCCUGUGGCCCUCCAUGCUCCACCCUUGAGGCUUCAGGGGGAUGGUGUGGCCCACACAUCCAAGAAGAGUUGGAGAACGACAUGCGGGUGCCCCAUGCCUGGCCCUGCCUCCUCACACACUGGUGAGGACAGGGCAGCUCUCCUUGGCCACCCACUUCUGCCCUCCCCUGCACCAGCCUCUGGAUGCCCCAGGGUUCCUGGGGCUUACCUGCCUCUGAGCUUCCACUUGGGCUGUUCCCUCUGCCCUUCCCCUGGAGACUCCCAUUCUUGCUCCAUUCCCACCAUGGGCCUCCACCUGGGCCCACUUGCCCACAGGGGCAGCAGAGCCCCUGACCAUGCCCUCGCACAUGCAGCCGGAGGACACCCCUCUGCUGUGCGUCCCUGUGGCCAUGGCCUUGAUGGGUGUGGCUCCCCAUGGCUUCUGUGUCUGCCUCCUGCACACCCAGCGGCUCCCAGGCUGGACACCAGGACUCUGGACAGGCACCCAGUGUGUUGGGGGUGGGGGGGCUGCCCAAUAAAGAUUUGUGAAACAA